rnacentral:rRNA from 1 species
AUGAACUAUAAUAUGCAAGGGAUGACGAAAACGAUUCCCGAGCUCUUCACAAUGCUAAAGGCUGCGGAGGUAGAAAUCAAGAAGGAGCAUCAAGUGCUGAUGGUCAACAAGACCACUAGUUUCAAGAAGAAGGGAAAAGGGAAGAAGGUGAACUUCAAGAAUAAUAGCAAGCAAGUUGCUACUCCCGGUAAGAAGCCCAAAUCUGGACCUAAGCCUGAAAUUGAGUGCUUCUACUGCAAAGGGACUAGUCACUGGAAGCGGAACUGCCCCAAGUAUUUGGCAGAUAAGAAGGAUGGCAAAGUGAAAGGUAUAUUUGAUAUACAUGUUAUUGAUGUGUACCUUACUAAUGCUCGUUGUAGCCUGGGUAUUUGA